GGCAGACACACACACACACAUACAAAAAGAGAGAGAGAGAGAAUGAGUGAUAUGAUACAACUGAGUUCGAAGAGGGAUAGCUCAUGGUAAAAGGAGGAGAGAACGAGAACAGCGAGUGGCAGAGGCGACCACCUUUUAACAAACGAUACUGUCGCUCUAUGUAACGGUCUUCCAUUAUAUGGAAGACCGUUCGAAUACAUGUAUCCUCGAAUUUUUGGCUCGGAACAGAACGCAGUGUACGAACAGAAAAAAGAUGCGGCGUACAUAAACAUCGAGGUAAGGACAUUUCUAGAAUAGUGCAAAACUGUCAGUAAGAUCUAUCUUGCUAAAGAACAUAGUAAAUUUCUUUAAAAAUAUAGCAAAUUUUUCAAUAGCACAUUUCAGUUCUUAAAAUAUAAAUAGCAUAUAUGAAAUGAAAGGAUUACUGCAGAAUGUUAAUUUACUCCUCGGUUACAACAACUUAAAUUAUGUCUCAAGGACUCGCUGCAACUUGCUCCGGGCGCUAUCGAGGAUCACGAAAGGAAAAUAUACACGGGUCGUAGAAUAAAGAGAUAAAGAGCAAGGAAAGGACCGUUCAAAUACGAAGGACGUUCUUAAUGGUGUUUCGGGCGGGCGACUCACAUCUGUACUUUCAUUAGAAGAGACGGAAUUAAGGAAUUUCGACGGUAGCGAGAAAGAAAGGGAGAGAAAGGAGGCGAGAGGGCAUAGGGAUUAGGUGUUCAACACGCGGAGGAUGCAGCGCGAGUGUAUGAAGUUGGCACCCCACUUUUUGAAAUUUAUAAUUUUGAAAGUUCCAGAUUGUUCUGACUUUGUACCACAUUGUUCCAAAGUGAUAUUGCUUCAUUCGAAACGGCUUUCGAAUAAAACAA